CAUGUGCUUUGAAAGGGAAAAUCGUCGCGUUCAUUUCAAAAAUGUUUUGUUGCCGUGUAUUGUGGUUGUUUGUAAACCCUAAGCUCGAACAGUCGAAAACCUCUCCUUUACUGGUUAGUCGAGUUUUCGACUCAAGCAAAUGUUUCUGUGAAAUAAACAACAAGUAUAUCGUUGUGA